GUGUGUGGCCAUACCAUCCUGGAUGCACUGAUCUUGUCUGAUCUUGGAAACCAAGUCAGGUCGGCCUGAUUGGCACUAAGAUGGGAAACCAACUGGGAAUACCAGGUACUAUGGGCU
rnacentral:rRNA from 1 species